AUUGAACGCUGGCGGCAGGCCUAACACAUGCAAGUCGAACGCGUUGAGGCCGGGUGAGUAAUGUCUGAGAAACUGGAUGAUGGAGAGGGAAAUAUAAUGGAAACGGUGCCUCAUACCGCAUACAAUAGUAAGUGCCCAGCUGGGAUUAGCUAGUAGGUGGGGUAAAGGCUCACCUAGGAGACGAUGCCUAGCUGGGCUGAGGGGAUGACCAGCCACACUGGAACUGAGACACGGUCCAGACUCCUACGGGAGGCCGCAGUGGGGAAUAUUUCACAAUGGUCGCAAGCCUGAUGCAGCCAUGCCGCGUGUAUGAAGAAGGCCUUCGGGUUGUAAAGUACUUUCAGCGGGGAGGCGUUACCCGCAGAAGAAGCACCGGCUAACUCCGUGCCAGCAGCCGCGGUAAUUC
rnacentral:rRNA from 1 species